CCUACGGGAGGCAGCAGUGAGGAAUAUUGGUCAAUGGGCUUACGCCUGAACCAGCCAAGUCGCGUGAGGGAAGACUGCCCUAUGGGUUGUAAACCUCUUUUGUCAGGGAGCAACGCCGGCUACGUGUAGCCUGACUUAUAGUACCUGUAGAAAAAGCAUCGGCUAACUCCUUGCCAGCAGCCGCGGUAAUACGGAGGAUGCGAGCGUUCUUCGGAUUUAUUGGGUUUAAGGGGGGCGUAGGCGGACGGGAAGUUCAGCGGGAAAAUCGAGAGGCUCAACCUCUUUCCGCCGUUGAAACUGGCGGUCUGGAGUGGGGGAGAAGUAGGCGGAAUGCGUGGUGUAGCGGUGAAAUGCAUAGAUAUCACGCAGAACUCCGAUUGCGAAGGCAGCAUACCGGAGCCCGACUGACGCUGAGGCACGAAAGCGUGGGUAUCGAACAGGAUUAGAUACCCUAGUAGUC
rnacentral:rRNA from 1 species